rnacentral:snRNA from 1 species
GUGCUUGCUUUGGCAGCAUGUGCUGGAAAUUGGAGUGAUACAGAGAAGAGUAGCGUGCCCCUGUGCAAAGAUGACAACGCAAAUGUGUGAAAAGUUCCCAUAUUUA